UGCAUCGAUGAAGAACGUAGCGAAAUGCGAUACCUGGUGUGAAUUGCAGAAUCCCGCGAACCAUCGAGUCUUUGAACGCAAAUUGCGCCCGAGGCCAUCCGGCCGAGGGCACGCCUGCUUGGGCGUCACGC
rnacentral:rRNA from 1 species